ACGGGUGAGUAAUGCUUAUCUUACUUGCCAAUUAGUGGGGGAUAACCCUGGGAAACCAGGGCUAAUACCGCAUUUGUUGCUUCGGCAAUGAAAGGGAAUCGCAAGAUUCUCGCUAAUUGAGAGGGAUAAGCCGUAUUAGUUAGUUGGUGGGGUAAUAGCCUACCAAGACAGUGAUGCGUAGCCAGGCUGAGAGGCUGAGUGGCCACAAGGGAACUGAGACACGGUCCCUACUCCUACGGGAGGCAGCAGUGAGGAAUUUUCCACAAUGGGGGCAACCCUGAUGGAGCAAUACUACGUGAAGGAGGAAGGUCUACGGAUUGUAAACUUCUGUUAGUGCGGAAGAAGGGCUAAGCGCAAGUUUAGCCUUGACGGUACGCACAGAGAAAGCCACGACUAACUACGUGCCAGCAGUCGCGGUAAGACGUAGGUGGCGAACGUUAUCCGGAAUUAUUGGGCGUAAAGGGUGCGUAGAUGGUAUGAUAAGUUAUUGGUGGUAAAUCGGGGCUCAACCUCGUGGAAGCUAGUAAUACUGUUAUACUUGAGUACAGGAGAGGUUAAUGGAAUUCCCUGUGGAGCGGUAAAAUGCGUUAGAUAUAGGGAGGAACACCAAUAACGGCGAAGGCAAUUAACUAUCCUGCUACUGACAUUGAGGCACGAAAGCGUGGGGAGCAAAAAGGAUUAGAUACCCUUGUAGUCCACGCCCUAAACGAUGAGUGCUAGAUAUUGGACAUUUUAUGUUCAGUGUCGCUAGUUAACACGGUAAGCACUCCGCCUGGGUAGUACGGUCGCAAGGCUGAAACUCAAAGGAAUUGACGGGGACUCGCACAAGCAGUGGAGCAUGUGGUUUAAUCCGAUACAACGCGUAGAACCUUACCAAGGCUUGACAUGUUCGGCAAAGUUAGGGAAACCUAAUGGAGGUUAUCCGGACACAGGUGCUGCAUGGCCGUCGUCAGUUCGUGCCGUGAGGUGUAUGGUUAAGUCCUAUAACGAACGUAACCCUUAGGCUUAGUUGCCAGCAUUCAGUUGGGGACUCUAAGCCGACUGCCCGAGUAAUCGGGAGGAAGGAAAGGAUGACGUCUGGUCGUC
rnacentral:rRNA from 1 species